UUGUUGGUAAGGUAAAGGCUUACCAAGGCUUCGAUCAGUAGCUGGUCUGAGAGGACGGCCAGCCACACUGGGACUGAGACACGGCCCAGACUCCUACGGGAGGCAGCAGUGGGGAAUUUUGGACAAUGGGGGAAACCCUGAUCCAGCCAUGCCGCGUGAGUGAAGAAGGCCUUCGGGUUGUAAAGCUCUUUCAGCCGGAACGAAACGGUUACGGAUAAUACCCGUGACUACUGACGGUACCGGAAGAAGAAGCACCGGCUAACUACGUGCCAGCAGCCGCGGUAAUACGUAGGGUGCGAGCGUUAAUCGGAAUUACUGGGCGUAAAGCGUGCGCAGGUGGUUUUGUAAGUCAGAUGUGAAAGCCCCGGGCUCAACCUGGGAACUGCGUUUGAAACUACAAGACUAGAGUGUGGCAGAGGGGGGUGGAAUUCCGCGUGUAGCAGUGAAAUGCGUAGAGAUGUGGAGGAACACCGAUGGCGAAGGCAGCCCCCUGGGUUAACACUGACACUCAGGCACGAAAGCAUGGGGAGCAAACAGGAUUAGAUACCCUGGUAGUCCAUGCCCUAAACGAUGUCAACUAGUUGUCGGGCCUUUACGGGCUUGGUAACGUAGCUAACGCGUGAAGUUGACCGCCUGGGGAGUACGAUCGCAAGAUUAAAACUCAAAUGAAUUGACGAAAACCCGCACAAGCGGUGGAUUAUGUGGAUUAAUUCGAUGCAACGCGAAAAACCUUACCUACCCUUGACAUGUAUCGAAGCCCGCAGAAAAGCGGGGGUGCCCGAAAGGGAACGAUAACACAGGUGCUGCAUGGCUGUCGUCAGCUCGUGUCGUGAGAUGUUGGGUUAAGUCCCGCAACGAGCGCAACCCUUGUCAUUAAUUGCCAUCAUUUAGUUGGGCACUUUAAUGAGACUGCCGG
rnacentral:rRNA from 1 species